UCUCAGUUUUUUAUGGAUUCUAUUUAUAACAGUUGCAGGGCGGUUGAAUCAGGGGUUCAAACAGACGAUGAUCCAGGUGAACAAUUUGUAAUUUUGAUAUUAAUUGAGAAGUCGUUUGUUAAUUUCUGGGGCUGUUUCAAACAUCUCCUUGUUUGAUCUGCAGAAGAUGGAUAACUGUUCGAUUGGGAUUGCGGUGUGUGGAUUUCUUUGAUUUGGAAUUUUUGUGCGUCUUUGAUUUGGUGAGAACAAUGAUAGGAGUUUGUU